rnacentral:lncRNA from 1 species
GGCAAAAGAGCUAUCUAAGAAAAGAUAGAAAAAAUAAUGAAAAGUUGACAUGUAAAUUUAUGAUACACUUAAGACUCAUUUUGUUUGAAGACUACCAGAUUUAUUAUUGUGGAUUUCUAACUAGUGAAAUAUUUGUGAUUUUGUAAUUUAUAUUUUGAAAUCAGAAAUAUUUUUCUAUGUUUAUACAAAAUAAUAGACAGGGUUAAACUAUCAUUAAGAAUCUCUUGCAUUUUAAAAUUUGAUAGUACUUGUAUGCAACAAUCUCUAAGAUUGCAUGAUUGAAAGCCACAUUUUUGUCUGUUUGUUCAACACUGAGACUGAUAAGUACAUACUGUAUUUCAGAAUUAACAGCAUACAACAUUACGAUUUUGUUUAAAAAAAAGAAUACUGAAAAUAAAAUCUUCUGAAAACUUGACUUAUGAUACUGCUUGUUUCACCAAGAAAAUGAGUUGAUACUGUUUGUCCAGAACAAUCUCAUAUUUAUAACUGUAAUUUAUGUUCAAGAUUUGUCCUUAUAUGAUUUUGAAAAUGUAGAAAGUUUUUAAAUGUUUCUGUUAAUGGAAAUUCUCACAGGCACUUGUCUCGGAAAAAAAAUUUCCUAUAAAUUAAUAUAACAACACUGUGUUAUAUUAAGGUAUAUAGGAAUUAUUUUUUUCUGAGACAAGUGCCUGUGGAAAUUCUGUGCAAAUCUGUGAUUAUUAUGUCAUAUCAUAUUUUUUUUAAUAUCCUGAUUGUUAAUUCAUAAAAUCAAAAUUAGAAAUUCAAGUCGAUUUUCAAAAACUCCUGUUUGAGAUGCUUUAUAAUAGGAACAAUUUUGCCAAAUAAUCUUAAUGAAUUUUAAAUGUAUGUUGUAAUAAUUUUGAAAUAUUUAACAUUGAUUUUUUAAAGAACCAAAACUUGUUCAGGUUUCAAUUUCAAAUUGAUUUAAGAAUAUAUCUUAUUAGAAUAUUUAGGGGAUAGGCAGAUUAGAUGAUUAAAAGCUGUGAUACCUUCUGGAAGGACCCUUAUGUGAUGAAAUAUCCGUCCUUAUUUAAAUGUUUUAAAUGAAUACACCCAUUUUUGUCUUUUUAAGGAGACUUCACUAUUUAUAUCUUAUAGAUUUAUGUUUCUAUAUUUUAUAUACUAUAUUUAUUUUUAUUAAUAUAAG